GACGAACGCUGGCGGCGUGCUUAACACAUGCAAGUCGAACGGUGAACGAGGGAGCUUGCUCCCUCCGGAUCAGUGGCGAACGGGUGAGUAACACGUGAGCAAUCUGCCCCGAACUCUGGGAUAAGCGUUGGAAACGACGUCUAAUACCGGAUGCGACGCGGGAGGGCAUCCUCUCCGCGUGGAAAGAACUUCGGUUCGGGAUGAGCUCGCGGCCUAUCAGCUUGUUGGUGAGGUAACGGCUCACCAAGGCGACGACGGGUAGCCGGCCUGAGAGGGUGACCGGCCACACUGGGACUGAGACACGGCCCAGACUCCUACGGGAGGCAGCAGUGGGGAAUAUUGCACAAUGGGCGCAAGCCUGAUGCAGCAACGCCGCGUGAGGGACGACGGCCUUCGGGUUGUAAACCUCUUUUAGCAGGGAAGAAGCGAAAGUGACGGUACCUGCAGAAAAAGCACCGGCUAACUACGUG
rnacentral:rRNA from 1 species